AGUGAACGCUGGCGGUAGGCCUAACACAUGCCAGUCGAACGGCAGCACAGUAAGAGCUUGCUCUUACGGGUGGCGAGUGGCGGACGGGUGAGGAAUACAUCGGAAUCUACUUUUUCGUGGGGGAUAACGUAGGGAAACUUACGCUAAUACCGCAUACGACCUACGGGUGAAAGCAGGGGAUCUUCGGACCUUGCGCGAUUGAAUGAGCCGAUGUCGGAUUAGCUAGUUGGCGGGGUAAAGGCCCACCAAGGCGACGAUCCGUAGCUGGUCUGAGAGGAUGAUCAGCCACACUGGAACUGAGACACGGUCCAGACUCCUACGGGAGGCAGCAGUGGGGAAUAUUGGACAAUGGGCGCAAGCCUGAUCCAGCAAUACCGCGUGGGUAAAGAAGGCCUUCGGGUUGUAAAGCCCUUUUGUUGGGAAAGAAAAGCAGCAGGUUAAUACCCCGCUGUUCUGACGGUACCCAAAGAAUAAGCACCGGCUAACUUCGUG
rnacentral:rRNA from 1 species